UACGUAGGGUGCAAGCGUUAAUCGGAAUUACUGGGCGUAAAGCGUGCGCAGGCGGUUUUGUAAGCCAGAUGUGAAAUCCCCGGGUUCAACCUGGGAAUGGCAUUUGGGACUGCAAGGCUGGAGUGCGGCAGAGGAGACUGGAAUUCCUGGUGUAGCAGUGAAAUGCGUAGAUAUCAGGAGGAAUACCGAUGGCGAAGGCAGGUCUCCUGGGCUGACACUGACGCUCAUGCACGAAAGCGUGGGGAGCGAAACAAG
rnacentral:rRNA from 1 species